rnacentral:lncRNA from 1 species
GGCCAGUAUGGACUCAACAUUCAAGCUUGAUACAGCUCGGAAUUUGGAUUGUGAUUAAGUAGUGGACACAGCAUAGGUUUCUGACACAGAAUGAAUGUGGUCUAAUGAACUUAAAAAAAAUUCAAAUUUACCUAUUAUGGUCCAAUAUCCAAAAUCUAAAUACAUGGCCAUGGAUUGAUUCAGCAUAUCAAACAAUCCCAAGAAUCCAAUAUUUG